UCAAAAAAUUUCAUCAGUGUAUGUGUGUCAGAAGUUCGGAAUGAUCUAUUGAACUGUAAGAAGCUGUUACUUUCUGGAACAUGGAAGAAAUUAACGAACGUGGACGCAUGUGGCUGCUCGUGGUGGAAGGUAGGUGGCUGAAAUUAUUAGUGUGCCGGCUUAGAAAAUCGCAUUAUGCUUGUUUCAGGGAAUCUAUUGGCCUUAAAGAUUCCUUGGAUAAGUUUGGUGUGGUGAUUUUCGUUUAUGAGUAAGUUCACUAUUUAAUUUUGCCCUUGCCUCCAUCACGGUUAUUAAAACUCGUUACAAAUUAUGACUGCCGAAAACAUGUGUGACUAGGAGAUGACUAGGAAUAUGAUUCAGGAUGGUGAUGAUCCUAGCAAAAUCGAUGGAUGCCUUUGAUGCGUGGCCUUCUCCCCUUUUGAUGCUUUCAGGAUCAACAGUAGCAUAUUAUUGCCUAGAUCUGUUGAACAUUUGCGUUCAUACAAACGACCAGACUCUUUGUUUUAAACUGUAGUCAAACACAGGACACGUUUUAUCACAACUUUCAAUGCUCCCUAAAUUGUUUUUUUUUGUUUUUUUUUAAUUUUAUUUUUUUUUUAUUUUUUUUUUUGUGCUAAUUCGAGCUGUUGAUUUUUUUUAUGCUUUUAGGUCGGCGGCGGAAAAUACGCCGAGAGAUUUGCCUUUCUCGUCCGCGACCUCAUAGCAACUGGUGCCCCUUUUGGCCACGAUGACACAGGGGACAAACUGCGGACCGAUCUUCGCAUUGAAGUGGUUUCCUGCCGAAGAUUGCCGGAAGCUUCUUUUAAAAACCCGCUGGCCAAUGAUGAAAGAGGGAAUUGUAUUUAUGUUUGCCGCUAGCAUCGCGAUCUUGCAGUCUUCCCUCGUGUUCCUGAAGAGGACGUCAAACUUCCGGCCUUCAUCCCAUGGAUAAGACAUGUUCCGGAAGAUGCGGACCAUUUCCAGAUAGUAAUCCUGGAACUUUUCUCGUGGACCUUGGCGGCGAGCGUUCAGCAUCCUUUCGUACUGGAAAUCAAUGUCAAUAGCUUUCAGAAUUGCGCGCAAGGUGCGUUCUCGUUUGGAACGGGAAUCCUCAGGCGCGAAAGCUUUGCGUAUACGCAACUCAUGACUGAGUUCUUCUUCCGAGAGGUGUGCCGUGUUUAAGGCGGAAUAUAGUGCUUUCAGUUGCGUCAAAUCCAUUGUGCAGCUUAGGAGAAAUUACUUGAAAUAAUGUUUGAAACAAAUAAUAUAAAUAACAAAAAACGAAUAAUUUAGAACUAAAUAUUAAUUAAUUGAAAUUAAAGUUUUAAUGUAUCACAGUUUAAUAGGGUGGCAAUAAAAUGAAAUAUUUUGCUAUUGUUUUUAUUUUCCGAUCGCACACUCCACUAUUGAAAUUUUGCUCCAAUUUAAAUUAAAUUUAAAAUAACUUCACUCCGAAUACUUAAUAAGCUUUCCUGUU